CCUCACUCUGCCUGGCUGCCCAGGGGGAUGGAUUGGUGUGCAAGUGGGGCUGGCUGCAGGGAGGCGAUGGUACCUGCUCUGCGUUACCUGUUUUUGCUGUGGCUCGGUUGGUUGGGAGCAGCCACUGGAGUGCCGGGAGAGCUAACCGAUGUUGUCCAGGCCACAGAGACCCAGGCGGUUCUUCUGCCCUGCACUUUUAACCACACACUGGCUUCUGACGAUUUGAAUCUGACUUGGUUUGGUCCGUCUGGGAAGGAACUCUCGUAUGUGCAUGUCAAGUAUAACCACUCAGAGGCAAAUCUGGGUGAAAAGUGGCGUCUGUUCAUUUACAGCAUCUCCAGGCAAGACGGCAUAUGGUUUACCUGCAGCUGGAAUGGCAUCUCAGGAAAGAACCACACACUCACAUGGACAGCUGCUUGGCUACAAUUAGGAGCCCAACACUGGAUAAUCUGGACUGCGGCCUUGGUACAUAUGAUUGCCUGCCUUGGUUGCCUUUUCUGUUUUCUGUGGCUCCGGCGAGCCAUUCGUGUUCGUAGGCAGAUGAAGCUGAAGGGUCCUGUCCGGAGAAGGUAUUUCUGUGCCAAGAGGAACAGGCCACGUGCUUCCAAUGGGGUUCUGGUGGGACCCUCAGCAAAUGAAGAUGUCUGUGAGCGGGUGGAUGCCUACGAGAAUGUGUUGCCAGACGGGGGUCCAAGGCGUGCCUGUCAGCUGCUUCAGAAAGGAAAGAUCCUACCCAAUACCACUGACAUGGAAGAUGAAGAUGAAGAAGAAUAUGAACAUCCAGACAGUGAAACAGAGCUCAAGUCAGAUGAUGAUGACAACUACGAGAACACCCAGGAAGAAGUGAAGCAGGGAGAUGCGGCUUUGAACGAUGUAUCGCUUUAUGAAAACAGAAAGGACGAGACCAAGUCUGGCUCCCAAAAGUGGGGCUCAGGUAUUUGGAAGUGCGGUGAGCUAUCCGUGUGGGGUGAGGGGUGUGUCAUGUCAGUCUGUUAA
ensembl:lncRNA